GAUGAACGCUGGCGGCGUGCCUAACACAUGCAAGUCGAGCGAACAGAUGAUGAUCUCGGGCCUCUGACGUUAGCGGCGGACGGGUGAGUAACACGUGGAUAACCUUCCUAUAAGACUUGGAUAACUGCGGGAAACCGGAGUUAAUACCGGAUAAUAUAUUGAACUGCAUGGUUCAGUAGUGAAAGUCGGUUUUGCUUUCACUUAUGGAUGGAUCCGGGCCUCAUUAGCUAGUUGGUAAGGUAACGGCUUACCAAGGCAACGACGCGUAGCCGACCUGAGAGAGUGAUAGGCCACAUUGGAACUGAGACACGGUCAAUACUCCUACGGGAGGGAGCAGUCGGGAAUCUUCCGCAAUGGGCGAAAGCAUGACGGAGCAAAGCGACGCGAGUGAUGACGGUCUUCGGAUCGUAAAGCUCUGUUAUUAGGGGAAAACCAAUGUGUAAGUAAAUAUGCACGUGUUGACGGUACCUGAUCAGAAAGCCACGGCUAACUACGUG
rnacentral:rRNA from 1 species